rnacentral:lncRNA from 1 species
AAUCGGCUCCUCUGGAGGCGUUUCCGGUGUCGCUCUUCCGGUGACGCCACCACCACGGCCUUCCCCACACACAACAUGGCGGCGCCCGUGUUGCUGCCCGCGGGGUCGGCCCUGGGCAAGCUGAGCCAUAAACAAUAUAGAGCUGUUCUGAAGAAAGAGAAAAGAAAGAAAAGGAGACGAGCACUAGCCAGAUUGAGAGAUUCCGAAAUCACAGAAAAAGAUGAAACAUUGCCUGAUGAGGAAGAACUAGAAGAAGAGGAAAAAAAGCUUGAUGUUGAAAGGCAAAAACUACAUGAGGAGUGGUUGUUGAGAGAAGAAAAGGCUCAAGAAGAGUUUAAGAUCAAGAAGGAAAAGGAAGAGGCAGCAAGAAGACGUCAAGAAGAGGAGGAGGUGAAAUAUAAAUUGAAGACCAUUUUUAAGUGUGCCAUAGUGUCACGCAAAGCCAAGGGAAAUUGUUAAUAUCUGUUUUGGUACUGGAGCAGACAAAGCAUUCUUGAAGUAGAUUUUUUUUAAUUUGUAAUCUCUCUUUUUUUUAAUAUUGAUCUUUAAAAAAAUACCCAAAGUUUUGGAUUUCCUUUACAUAUCUGAACACUAAAAGCAAGAGUUUCAGCACAUAACAGAGUUGAUGGUUUUGGAUUUAACUGUUGUCUUCUCAUUCAUUUACAAGAUUGUUUUUUGAAAGACUUCAUAAAGUAUUUAUUUAAUCUUUUAACAAGAAAAUAAGCACUCUUUCUUUUUUUUUUUUUUUUAUGAAGCGAAAGAUCAGAGAAGAAUGGGAAGAACAGCAGAGGAAAGAGAGAGAAGAGAAGGAGCAGAAACAACAGGAGAAAAGAGAGAGAGAGGUGAUUCCUGCACUGGGAGGAUAAACACACUGCAUAUCCUCUCACAGUACCAGACGUUGCAAUCUGCAAUUGUGUACCAGAGUCAAAAUCCAGUUAGCCUUUUUGCAUCUGCUAAUUAUUUGUAGUCCCCGUUUGUUUAUUUCUAAUUAACAAAUUAUUUCUGAGACCUGAAAAUAUAUCUUGGAUUCAUAAUAGUGUAAUCUGAAUCCAUGUUGCUGGAGAAGAUAAUUAAUUUACUGUAAGAUUAGUCUUUUAGUUUGCGUAGCAAUGUACAGCUAAUUGUGCAGCUAAUUAUCUCUUACAUAAUUAUUUACAUCAGGCAAAUAUGAAGGUCUGUUGUCAGUGCUAUUUUUCACGUGUGUACUUACAAUGUGAUACAUUAAAGACCAAUUUAUCUUAGUAUUGCAAGUGUUCCCCAUAAGACAUCUGAACAAACUUAGUAUAAUUAUUUUUAAGGAAUUCCUGGUGCUGAUUUAGAAUUGUAUUACUGCUGUUCCUUAACAGUGUUCUUAAUCAAAAGAUGUUACAGCUCCUCUUUACCUGGCUCAUUCAUCAGGAUGUAUCUUUUUUCAUAAAUUCGGGGGUAUGGAAGAAAACAGUGUGGAAAAUUGCUAUUG